rnacentral:rRNA from 2 species
ACGAGUGGCGGACGGGUGAGUAAUGCUUGGGAAUCUGGCUUAUGGAGGGGGAUAACUACGGGAAACUGUAGCUAAUACCGCGUAAAAUCUUCGGAUUAAAGGGUGGGACUUUCGGGCCACCUGCCAUAAGAUGAGCCCAAGUGGGAUUAGGUAGUUGGUUAGGUAAAGGCUGACCAAGCCGACGAUCUCUAGCUGGUCUGAGAGGAUGACCAGCCACACUGGAACUGAGACACGGUCCAG